CCUACGAGGGGCAGCAGUGGGGAAUAUUGGGCAAUGGGCGCAAGCCUGACCCAGCAACGCCGCGUGAAGGAAGAAGGCUUUCGGGUUGUAAACUUCUUUUCUCAGGGACGAAGCAAGUGACGGUACCUGAGUAAUAAGCCACGGCUAACUACGUGCCAGCAGCCGCGGUAAUACGUAGGUGGCAAGCGUUAUCCGGAUUUACUGGGUGUAAAGGGCGUGUAGGCGGGAAAGCAAGUCAGAUGUGAAAACCAUGGGCUCAACCUGUGGCCUGCAUUUGACACUGUUUUUCUUGAGUACUGGAGAGGCAGACGGAAUUCCUAGUGUAGCGGUGAAAUGCGUAGAUAGUAGGAGGAACACCAGUGGCGAAGGCGGUCUGCUGGACAGCAACUGACGCUGAGGCGCGAAAGCGUGGGGAGCAAACAGGAUUAGAUACCCCUGUAGUC
rnacentral:rRNA from 1 species